CUUUGUUUAUGCAUGCAUACGCGAAUCAGGCAGCGAACGCAGCGGAGCCUUUUUCGGGCCGCUCCUGGCGCUUGCUAGUGGCCCAGUGGCACCAGCCUACAAUAAUUAUUAUUAGUAGUGCUGCCGUGUUUGUUACACUGUGGCCAAGUGCGUAGCAAGUGCUUCGGUUAACCCUCGCGCGGUGUCCGUGGAUGAGUGCAUUUGGCACAGGUGCAUAAUUUGAAGCAUUUUUGAGCAAAAGGAUAAUACCAGUUUACUUUUUGUGUGUGAACGAACAGCAGUGGUGCAGUGCCGUGUCUGUUUGUAAGGACCUAGACGACGAUGACGGCGAUAACAACAACAACGAUAACAACAACAACAACAACAACACCAUCAACAGUCGUCGAGACGAUGACGACGACGACGGUCCGAAUGUAGAAUGUGAAGAGUGGUGUAUUUUCGCAGGCCUGCUCCUUGACCGUUUCUCCGGGGUCAGCUGCGGAGGUUGUUGUUUAUUUCGGGCCUCUGCGCGGAGCGUCUAGGGGUGGUGAUGGUAGCGAAAAGGGGUUGUGCGUGUGAACAAGAAGAAGAUUCAGGAGAAGAAGAAGAAGAAGAAGAAGGAGAAGAAGAGCAAGCAAAGGAAACCGACCCCUCUCUUGACGAGGGAUUCCUGCUGUUUGGCAGCCAGUCAGUCAGUCAAGAGCGAAAACGAAGAAAACGAAAAUAACACACCGCUCGAAGUGGACAAACCAGAACGUGAAGAGUGAAAGGAUUGACCAAAACAAACAUUCGGACGCACCCUUCAGAGCACACAGCCACCUGUCGUCGUCUGGCUGCCCGUCCGCGUUUUCGUUCGGAAUUGGGAAUAACAACAUCAGCAGCAGUCAACAACAAACACAACAUCAGUUUUGGUCACCUGGCGGCUCGGGUAGAAACGGAAAAGCAGCGACGGCCACCAGAAAAUUGAUGAUGACGAUGAUGAUCAUAUGAAAAGCGAAUCGUUUGCCGAUAUAUUUAUGUUUGGCUUUAUUUUUUACGCGCGACGACGAUGACCACAGCAGCAGCACCAGCAAAGGCUUCAACGUUUCAGUGCUGAUGAAUCACCUGGAUGCGAAGAAUUUUUGAGUAAAUUUGUGAAUUUAGCUUCAUAACAGCAUACAAGAUUAACCUUUCGAGAGGAUUCGGUUUCUCUCCAAGAACAGAUUUUAAUUUACUCAAUCUUGAUUUGACACGACUACUUACCACAAGCUAGCAGCAACAAUGAAGCAAUCAUUCGGACCGAUCAUCUCUCCACCGCUGACAGCACUCCUACUCGCACAAACCACCAUCAGCCACGGAAGUAGGAGUCCUCGUCGUCAAUUGAAGAAGGCACGGAUCAAACGAAAGGAAGGACUUAAAAUCAAACAAUUUGUAAAAGACGCAAAUACGAAGAAGCUUGCAACAAGAGGCAAACACUGAAGCGAGAACAUGAAAAUUAAAAAAAAAACGGUGAAGAAGAAGAAGAAGAAGAAAAAUGCAACAAUUAAGUUCCUACUCUAAAACAUAGAUAAAAAUAUACGUUAUAAACGAGAGUGUACUAAUGGUAACUGUAAUCUUAGGUCGCUAAAAUGAAGAAAAUAAAAUUAAAAUAAACCUACUGAAUGGCGGGAAGUUUCCGCUCCGUGCUCGUUACAUACAGACACCCACACAUACACACACAGGCUUGCUUCCGGCCACCUCGGCCCUGUUGGGUAGUGAAACACUGUAAAGUUUAAGAGACUGAUAUGCCGCACCCGAGGGUUGAUGGCAUUUUCCUUCCCAAGCGACUGCUUCCAUUGUUUUUAAUCUGACCCGAACUUGGCAACACUGUUCCCACUGUUGGCGUGCGCACGGCGAGUUCCUUUGCAGCGGCAUUCAACGGAGAAUCGCCGUCACUGUUAUGCAUUCGGAGCUCGGUGGCAUCCAAUAGGGAGGGGAACUGAUGAGAGGCUGCGAAGGGUUUGGUAGAGGCAAGGUAGCAGGAGGUGGAGAGGAAGAGCUUGAAAUCCAAAGGGCGCAUCGGUUUUGCACCUCGCUUGCUCCCACUAACGAGACCGGACUGUGUGUGUGCUGAAUGAGGGAGGGUACGGGGAACUUCCGAUUAUGAUGCGAAACGAUUAUUGUACUUGUAAAAUUUAUCGAUUUGAAGGUAAACAUUGUAUAACUGGAAGGAAGAUAACCAAAAUAACUGUAUUUUGAGUAAAAGUGGGUAAAAAUGCUAUCGUUUUUUUACACGUAGAAUAUGAGGAUUCAAGCGAAUUGCAAGGGCAAAGUGUAAUUUUUUUAUAGGUUUCCGUACUGUUGAAGGGACUUGUGGGGAAGGAAUUCAAAUUUCAAACAGAGCUGGAAGUAGAUCCUAGAAUUUCUCGCAUUGAUGCCAAGUUGUAGAAAGCGUAAUCCUAUUGAUAUUAACAGUGAAAAAAAGUAACACCUAGUAUUAACUGAUGAUACUUAAUGUAGUUGGCUUAAAGCUUUAUUUUAAAUAAAAAUGAUAUUAAAACAAAAAAAAACAAAAAAAUAUUAAAAAGAAAAACAGAACAAAAAAACAGAGUGCAUAGAUGGAAGUUAACCAAUUUAGUUCAGCUUAGUGUACUUUUCAACGUGCAAUGUUUAUACGAGAAGGCGGUAGUGAUGAAAUUGCGAGGUAUCAACCGAUGAAAGAGUCGAUCCAUUGAUUUCGGUAAAACUCAAACUCCUUUCCUGCAGUCGACAGGGAAGGGGUUUCAAGUUUUUCCACUCAUUGAUAUUCAACUAGCAUUGAUAUUCAUAGUCGAGCAUAAGAAAGUGUAUGAUAAAAAAUAAAAGUUCCUAAAUGGUCACCUGCCGGAGCAGCUUGAGGCAAGGGGGUGACCAAACUAUUAAUCUUAGUGUUUUAGAAUCGAACCAGUAGAGGAAAAAAUAAGAAUGGCAUCAAUCGUGCUCGUGUCUCGCAGAAAUUGUUCCUCCAAAACCGUUCCAGAACAGUUUUGAAUUUGAAUUUCGCCUCCUUUAAAGAGUUCCGUUAUAAUUUACAAAAGUUUACCAGAAAUGAUCCCAAAAGUCGUACUCUAAUCAAAACAAUCAUCUCACCCGAAUCUCACCAAUUUGGCAACACUUUACUGUUGGGUUCGUUCCUUUUUGGACUAUCUCGCUAAAUAAAAAAAAGAAGAAGAACAAAGUACUCGCGUGAACAACAAUAAUAGAGUUUAGAGAAAUUCAAAAUAAAAGAAAACUUAUUUGAGAGUGAAACAUGAGCAGAUCCAAAGCAAAUUUCGUUCCUACAUAAAAAAAACCUUAACUUAUUGAGCGGAGAAAUGAGAGAAAAAACGAAAAGACUCGACAUAUCAUGAAUGUUUAAUUUUGUCCUCGCAAAAUUUUUUAGAAUGACACACGAUUGCACCCCCGACGUGCGAGCAAAGGAGAAAACUACAUUUUUAAAGUCACUCAUAACAGCUACUUACUUGAGAAAAAAAGAAAUACUACAACUACUACUUAACAUAGAAUCGAAGAAGCACCAAAGUGGUAUAUUCAUAUAUCUAAUCGAUGUUUCCGCUAGUGUCCACCAGAUGUCCCCCUUCCCUUCAAAUACAACCCAAAAGCAAACAGUCAAACCAUUCACGGUUGAGAAACGGCGAAAGAAGCGCCCACAAAAAUAAAAUACGAUACGGUUUUGUUUCCUAAAUCUAGUUGUUCUCUUACACCACGCAGAAUAAAACGAAAGUAAAACAAAAACAACAACAAUUCGCAUUCAUAGAUUUACUACUACCAAAACUACUACAAAGUUCCUGAAUGGCUUCUGCUGAGAGAUGGCAAGCCUACUAUGUUUUGUCCUCCGUUGUUACUUUUCCGUUUUGUUCAUGUUUUCGUUAGCUUGCGUUAGACCGAACUGUCAGAACUGUCACAACCUGCGUCCGACGUUAACGAUCAGUUAGAGCGAAAAUAUGUCACUUCGAAUGUUGGUUCUGAAGUUUGGACAGUUUGACCAUUUUCAAUUUUUAAUAAUACUAAAAAAUACGUGUAGCUUACCAUCAUCAUGCCGAUCUCGAUCGGCACUGUCGUUGGUGAUGUUGACCGCACACGGGUAAAGUUGGCGCAAAGCUAGUACUUCAAUAGGUAAAAGUUCCUAACGUUUUUCGUUUCCCUCGAAGCCUACAUUAAGUUUCAAACUGACUUAUUCGUGCAAUCCUACUACAACGUUGAUCGAGAGUUAUCGAACGUAUAUACAGAUAAACCAAACUGAAGAAUAUUAUUUAGACCAUGAUAUGUUAACACCGCGCAUAGAAACUGCAAACAGCAACAACAACAACCACAACAACUAACCAUUAUCAUACCGAGAAGAAAAUGAGAACUUGAAACAGUCAAAUCUGUGCGCAACAUCAUUCUGCAGCCCGAUUGGCAUGCUCGAGCGGUGAAAAAAGUAACGCAGUAACUCUAGUGCAGUCACCCAAAAGAGAGAAAAAACACUCACACCCACACACACAUACACACAAACUCACUUGCAACUAUUACUAUUAUUAUUAUGAUUAUUAUUGACAUGAUUAUUGCAAGAUUGCAGAACAUGAGAACACAAACAAUUGUAAAAGAUAUAUUGUCAGAUGUAAAAGUAAAUGAAAAUAAAUAAUAAUAAAAACUUACUUGGUAGUCAAGCAAA